rnacentral:rRNA from 1 species
GAUGAACGCUGGCGGCGUGCUUAACACAUGCAAGUCGAGCGAACGGACCAGAAGCUUGCUUCUCUGAUGUUAGCGGCGGACGGGUGAGUAACACGUGGAUAACCUACCUAUAAGACUGGGAUAACUUCGGGAAACCGGAGCUAAUACCGGAUAAUAUUUUGAACCGCAUGGUUCAAAAGUGAAAGACGGUCUUGCUGUCACUUAUAGAUGGAUCCGCGCUGCAUUAGCUAGUUGGUAAGGUAACGGCUUACCAAGGCAACGAUGCAUAGCCGACCUGAGAGGGGGAUCGGCCACACUAGAACGGAGACACGGUCCAGACGCCUACGGGAGGCAGCAGUAGGGAAUCGUCCGCAAUAGGCGGAAGCCUGACGGAGCAACGCCGCGUGAGCGAUGAAGGUCUUCGGAGCGUAAAGCUCUGUUAUUAGGGAAGAACAUAUGUGUAAGUAACUGUGCACAUCUUGACGGUACCGGAUCAGAAAGCCACGGCUAACUACGUG